GUGGGGAAUAUUGGACAAUGGGCGAAAGCCUGAUCCAGCCAUGCCGCGUGUGUGAAGAAGGUCUUCGGAUUGUAAAGCACUUUAAGUUGGGAGGAAGGGCAGUAAGUUAAUACCUUGCUGUUUUGACGUUACCGACAGAAUAAGCACCGGCUAACUUCGUGCCAGCAGCCGCGGUAAUACGAAGGGUGCAAGCGUUAAUCGGAAUUACUGGGCGUAAAGCGCGCGUAGGUGGUUUUGUAAGUUGGAGGUGAAAUCCCCGGGCUCAACCUGGGAACUGCCUCCAAAACUGCAUGACUAGAGUACGGUAGAGGGUAGUGGAAUUUCCUGUGUAGCGGUGAAAUGCGUAGAUAUAGGAAGGAACACCAGUGGCGAAGGCGACUACCUGGACUGAUACAGACACUGAGGUGCGAAAGCGUGGGGAGCAAACAGGAUUAGAUACCCGGGUAGUCC
rnacentral:rRNA from 1 species